rnacentral:rRNA from 1 species
UACGGAGGGUGCAAGCGUUAUCCGGAUUCACUGGGUUUAAAGGGUGCGUAGGUGGGCAAGUAAGUCAGUGGUGAAAUCUCCGGGCUUAACCCGGAAACUGCCAUUGAUACUAUUUGUCUUGAAUACUGUGGAGGUCAGCGGAAUAUGUCAUGUAGCGGUGAAAUGCUUAGAUAUGACAUAGAACACCAAUUGCGAAGGCAGCUCACUACACGAAUAUUGACACUGAGGCACGAAAGCGUGGGGAGUCAAACAGGA